GACGAACGCUGGCGGCGUGCUUAACACAUGCAAGUCGAACGGAAAGGCCCUGCUUUUGUGGGGUGUUCGAUUGGCGAACGGGUGAGUAACACGUGAGUAACCUGCCCUUGACUUUGGGAUAACUUCAGGAAACUGAGGCUAAUACCGGAUAGGAGCUCCUGCUGCAUGGUGUGGGUUGGAAAGUUUCGGCGUUUUGGGAUGGACUAGCGUCUUAUCAGCUUGUUGGUGGGGUAGGGGCUUGCCGUGGCGUUGGAGGGUAGCCUGCCUGAGAAGGUGGCCGGCCACAAUGGUACUGAGAUAGGUCCCAGACUCCAACGGGAGGCAGCAGUGGGGAAUAUUGCACACUGGGAGGAAGCCUGAUGCAGCAACGCCGCGUGCGGGAUGACGGCCUGAUGGUAGUAAACCGCUUUCGCUUGAGACGAAGCGUGAGUGACGGUAUUAUGUAAAGAAGCAACGGCUAACUACGUG
rnacentral:rRNA from 1 species